rnacentral:rRNA from 1 species
GCAGCAGUGGGGAAUUUUGGACAAUGGGCGAAAGCCUGAUCCAGCCAUGCCGCGUGCAGGAUGAAGGCCUUCGGGUUGUAAACUGCUUUUGUACGGAACGAAAAAGUCUUCUCUAAUACAGGGGGCGAAUGACGGUACCGUAAGAAUAAGCACCGGCUAACUACGUGCCAGCAG